ACUUCCAGGUUCGCAAUAGACUGGACUAAUCUCCCAAGGAUCAAUGGUUAUUGACGACAGGUGGUGAACGUGCAGGUUUUCUGUCCGUCAGUAUUAGUUUGUUCGGGUAUUUCAGAUACUGGUUUCCGGCAACCUAUGAGUUCAAAUCUACCGCGGGAUUGUUCUUAACUAGGCCUGAGCUCAAUCCUAUCCUUACGCGCACGCCUGGUUCAAUUUUAACCAGCGGACUGGCUUCGAGCGAACGAAAGAAAUUAUCUAAAAGGACUGGUUCUGUUCGUCCUGUCGUUCGGGUAAGAGGUACACUUAUGUCGAAAACCUUAAUACCUGGACACCAUAGGACUGUUGGUGCGGAUCUGCUAGAGUAGUCCCACGCUGGAUGGAGCUGGCGAU